rnacentral:tRNA from 1 species
GCCGGAGUGGCGGAAUAGGCAGACGCAAGGGACUUAAAAUCCCUCGGGUGUUACACCCGUGUGGGUUCGACCCCCACCUCCGGCA